GCUUUCCAACCCUGGUUCCGGAUGCCUGCUCAGAUGGACUCCACAGCUCGUACCAGAGCCUCCAAGACUCCAGAGCACACGCUUGUGGUCCCAGCUGCUCGGGAGCUGAAGCAGGGGCAGACAUCACAUGGGUCCACCACAAGUUUGGAACCAACUGGGUAACAUGGUUAGACAUCAUACAGGAAGAUGCUGAGAGAUACUUUGGGGCGUGGGUCCCACAUCUUCAGCAUUAGCCUUGGGUUGCCCCUGAACAGCAGCUGGAGCCCUGCCUGCCGCUCACCUGGGCUUCCAGGAGCCCAGCGCCACCUGCCCCUUAUGUGGGCUUACUCUGCAGAGGGGUGUUUGACCCUGAGCAGCAUCUUACAGGCCCUCCACUCCCGGCCACCUGCCACCCCCUCCCUGCCUCUGUCCCAGGUGGCUCCUCUGGGGACUGUGAACCGCACAGCUGCCUCUGGGCCCCUGAAGUUACAGGAAAGAGCCACUCUUAAUAUUCUUUUAAAAGAAAGAAAGGAAAAGAAAAACCACUGUGGGGACCAAAACCUCACACACUUGGACUAAACCCAGAGGUGAACAUUUAUUUCAGCAAAAUUCAUUCAAGGUCUUGAAAGUCAAGUGUGAGAUGUGACAUACGCCUUGUCAGCGAGCAUAAUGCCCUUUUCUGUGCUUGGACGGCUGAAGAUGAUAUGCUACGGUGACAUGUUUGGUGUCCUAGGAAUGUGACUCCAGAGAGAUCAAGGGGAGUGUGCAUGUGGGCUGUAGGGCCUCCUGGCCCGCUAGACCCUCCCAAGAUGGCUGCCUUGGGCACUGGAAAGCUGCCCAUCUGCUCCCACCUUAUCACACCGAGGCUUUCCCGAAGCGAACCGCGGAUUCCCGCCGACAUCUUCUGGUCGGUACAGGGUGUGCUAUACAUGGCCCUUUCCAAGCGUGGCUGUCAUUUGUCAGCUCCCCAUAAUCCCAGCCUCAGGUGGUGUCUGGAUGUCUUGCUGUGGCGUGAGAGGGAUCCGUCAGCACCUUCAAAUUCUGGCCCUUCUCGUUGUCACGGAGACAGCGCCAUCUGUUCCUCCCAGAGGGGAUUUUGCCAGAGCUUCGUGAACAGGGCUUUCUUCCUCUCGUUGACUUUUCGUCAAGGUCCUGGAGCGAUGGGGGUGAGGUCUAGAUAGUAAACGCUACUCAGCUAUUCAUCCAAUAAAACUGUUUCCACCCGAA